rnacentral:rRNA from 1 species
UACGUAGGGUGCAAGCGUUGUCCGGAAUUAUUGGGCGUAAAGAGCUCGUAGGCGGUUUGUUGCGUCGGCUGUGAAAUCCCGAGGCUCAACCUCGGGUCUGCAGUCGAUACGAGCAAACUAGAGUGUUGCAGGGGAGACUGGAAUUCCUGGUGUAGCGGUGAAAUGCGCAGAUAUCAGGAGGAACACCGGUGGCGAAGGCGGCAUCCUGGACCGACAUUGACGCUGAGGAGCGAAAGCUAGGGGAGCAAACGGG